rnacentral:rRNA from 1 species
GAUGAACGCUAGCUACAGGCUUAACACAUGCAAGUCGAGGGACCGGCGCACGGGUGAGUAACACGUAUCCAACCUGCCCUUUACCCGGGGAUAGCCUUUCGAAAGAAAGAUUAAUACCCGAUAUAAAGGAUGGGGAUGCGUUCCAUUAGGUUGUUGGUGAGGUAACGGCUCACCAAGCCUUCGAUGGAUAGGGGUUCUGAGAGGAAGGUCCCCCACAAUGGAACAGAGACACGGUCGAAACUCCGACGGGAGGCAGAAGUGAGUAAUAGUGGGCAAUAGGCGCUAGCCUAGACCAGCCAAGUAGCGUGAAGGAUGAAGGCUUAGGGAUCGUAAACUUCUUUUAUAGAAGAAUAUGUAUUAUAUGAAUAAGGAUCGGCUAACUCCGUGCCAGCAGCCGCGGUAAUUC